GGCUCCUUCGGGAGUACACGAGCGGCGAAUGGGUGAGUAACACGUGAGCAAUCUGCCCUUCACAUUGGAAUAACUUCCGGAAACGGAAGCUAAUACCGAAUACGACCACCGAAGGCAUCUCCUGGUGGUGGAAAGUUCCGGCGGUGAAGGAUGAGCUCGCGGCCUAUCAGCUUGUUGGUGGGGUAACGGCCUACCAAGGCGACGACGGGUAGCCGGCCUGAGAGGGUGACCGGCCACACUGGGACUGAGACACGGCCCAGACUCCUACGGGAGGCAGCAGUGGGGAAUAUUGGACAAUGGGCGAAAGCCUGAUCCAGCAACGCCGCGUGAGGGAUGACGGCCUUCGGG
rnacentral:rRNA from 1 species